rnacentral:rRNA from 1 species
GAUGAACGCUGGCGGCGUGCCUAAUACAUGCAAGUCGAGCGAAAAGACGAGGAAGUUGCCUCCCUUGCUUUCGCGGCGGACGGGUGAGAAACAUGUGGAUAACAUACCUUUAAGACUGGGAUAAAUUACGGAAACCGGAGCCAAUAACGGCAAAUCUACUCAACAGCAAGGAUCAAUAGUGACAGACGGUUUUCCUGUCAAUGAUCGCUGGUUGCGCGCCGCAUUAGCUAGUUGGUAAGGUAACGGCUUACCAAGGCAACGACGCGUAGCCGACCUGAGCGAGGGAUCGGCCACACGGGAACUAGGACACGGUCCGGACUCCAACGGAAGGCAGCGGGAGGAAUACUGCAGCAUUGGGCGAAGGCCUGACGGAGCAAGGCGGCUGGAGUGAUGAGGCUCUUCGGAUCGUAAAUCGCUGUUGUGAGGAGAGAACAAGUAUGGAUGUAACUAUUCACGUCUGGACUGUACCGAAGCAGAAAGCCACGGUAAACUACUG